rnacentral:rRNA from 1 species
GACGAGGUGCACAAACGUUAUUCGGAUUUACUGGGCUUAAAGCGUGCGUAGGCGGCCUGGCAAGUUGGGUGUGAAAUCCCUCGGCUCAACCGAGGAAUUGCGCCCAAAACUGCUGGGCUGGAGUGAGACAGAGGUGAGCGGAACUGAUGGUGGAGCGGUGAAAUGCGUUGAUAUCAUCAGGAACACCGGUGGCGAAGGCGGCUCACUGGGUCUCUACUGACGCUGAGGCACGAAAGCUAGGGGAGCAAAC